AGGAGAGGGGGGACCGGGAACCCGGACGGAGUAAGGGGUGUUGAAGCAUUCCGUAUCCCGGGAUUCGGAUCCCCAUCGACCAUUUGACACAUGUGUCACUUGCAACCGUUCCGCUCGUUCCGCUGUGGCUGUGGCAGAGACUCGACUCUCGACUCUGGUGCUGGAGCUGUCGCUGUCGCCGUCGCCGUCGCUGUCGCCGUCGCCUGAGCCUUCGGUUGACAGCUGUCAGUGUCAGUUUACAUAAUUUAUAGAUUUCAGCGCAUAAAAAAGUCAUAAAAUUUACAAUGUUGCUUUCGGGCAGCGCCUCGCCCCGUCUCCCCGUCUCUCACUCGCUGAUGCCUUAUUUUUAUGAGCAAAGACAUCAAUUUUUCGCACAGCACAGCACAGCAGAGCAGAGCAGAGCACAGUCUAGCCUGGCUAGCAACAACCCGGCCACGGCAGCAAGCAGCACUAUUCGUAUUCUUCUCGGUCCCAGAGUGUCGGUCCCAGAGCUGGCGAGGAUUUCCAUUGGCAUUGCCAUUCGAAAUGCUUUUGAUUUAUUUCUCUGGCGAUAAAUCCUCGCACUCAACAAAAUACAUCAACGAUUUAUAGUGGCCCAAGCGGUACAGAACGACCCGAACAAUAACUAACAAAACGCACCAGCAGCAGCAGCGGCGUCGGCAGCAGCGACAGCAGCGACAGCGGCAGCGGCAGUAGCAACAAUGGAUAUGAGCCGAAAGGAGCCAAGUCCCUCAACGCGACAUAAAUCUUCAAUA
rnacentral:sRNA from 1 species